rnacentral:rRNA from 1 species
CAGUAGCCGCGGUAAUACGUAGGUGGCAAGCGUUGUCCGGAAUUAUUGGGCGUAAAGGGCUCGCAGGCGGUUUCUUAAGUCUGAUGUGAAAGCCCCCGGCUCAACCGGGGAGGGUCAUUGGAUACUGGGAAACUUGAGUGCAGAAGAGGAGAGUGGAAUUUCACGUGUAGCAGUGAAAUGCGUAGAGAUGUGAAGGAACACCAGUGGCGAAGGCGACUCUCUGGUCUGUAACUGACGCUGAGGAGCGAAAGCGUGGGGAGCGAACAGGAUUAGAUACCCGUGUAGUCCCUGUCUCUUAUAC